rnacentral:rRNA from 1 species
UACGGGGGGGGCAAGCGUUGUUCGGAAUUACUGGGCGUAAAGGGCUCGUAGGUGGCCAACUAAGUCAGACGUGAAAUCCCUCGGCUUAACCGGGGAACUGCGUGUGAUACUGGAUGGCUUGGAUGUGGGAGAGGGAUGCGGAAUUCCAGGUGUAGCGGUGAAAUGCGUAGAUAUCAGGAGGAACACCGGUGGCGAAGGCGGCUCUCUGGUCCACAACUGACGCUGAGGUGCGAAAGCUAGGGGAGCAAACGGG